ACGACGCUGGCGGCGUGCUUAACACAUGCAAGUCGAACGGAGAAUUUAUUUCGGUAAAUUCUUAGUGGCGAACGGGUGAGUAACGCGUGGGCAACCUGCCCUUCAGAUGGGGACAACAUUCCGAAAGGGGUGCUAAUACCGAAUACGAUCACGCUGCCGCAUGGCGGUGUGAUGAAAGAUGGCCUCUAUUUAUAAGCUAUCGCUGAAGGAUGGGCCUGCGUCUGAUUAGCUAGUUGGUGGGGUAACGGCCUACCAAGGCGAUGAUCAGUAGCCGGUCUGAGAGGAUGAACGGCCACAUUGGGACUGAGACACGGCCCAAACUCCUACGGGAGGCAGCAGGUGGGGAAUAUUCCGCAAUGGACGAAAGUCUGACGGAGCAACGCCGCGUGAGUGAUGAAGGUUUUCGGACUGUAAAACUCUGUUGUUUAGGACGAAAGUGCCUGUUGCAAAUAGUUGCAGGUAUUGACGGUACUGAACGAGGAAGCCACGGCUAACUACGUG
rnacentral:rRNA from 1 species